GAUUAGCCCUCCAUUCAUCAAGCUCCGUCUCAACAUCCAACUCCAGCCGGCCACCAAGCCUUGAACUUCGGUGGAUGCCCUCUAGCCUCAAGCUAUCUCCCUCCUUCCCAUUGGAGAGCUCUUGAGAUCCUGACACGAGCAAGCUAGUCGUGACUGACACAGGCCCCCCACACUCUGUCGCUCGAGGUUCUCUGGCCCCCAACUCUAGUAGCUGGGGCUUGUCAUUAAUUGUCGCCCCUGUGUGGGCAAUCUCCUCUAGGUUCCACAAUCCAAUUGGAGCCUCUCGAGACAUCUCUAUCUCUUUCC
rnacentral:lncRNA from 1 species